CGUGCACCGGUGGGGUCCCUCGGCCUGGCCUGCGCCCCCUCGCAAUCUGGGACCCCUCGGGGAAUGUCGGAGAGCUGGUUUCAGCCUGAUCCCCGCAGGCCAGGCCGAGGGACCCCACCGGUGCACG
rfam:Myotis brandtii contig225998, whole genome shotgun sequence.